rnacentral:rRNA from 1 species
UGGGGAAUUUUGGACAAUGGGCGAAAGCCUGAUCCAGCCAUGCCGCGUGAGUGAAGAAGGCCUUCGGGUUGUAAAGCUCUUUUAGUCGGAAAGAAAGAGUUGCAAUGAAUAAUUGUGAUUUAUGACGGUACCGACAGAAAAAGCACCGGCUAACUACGUGCCAGCAGCCGCGGUAAUACGUAGGGUGCGAGCGUUAAUCGGAAUUACUGGGCGUAAAGGGUGCGCAGGCGGUCUUGCAAGUCAGAUGUGAAAGCCCCGGGCUUAACCCGGGAAUUGCGUUUGAAACUACAAGACUAGAGUGCAGCAGAGGGGAGUGGAAUUCCAUGUGUAGCAGUGAAAUGCGUAGAGAUGUGGAAGAACACCGAUGGCGAAGGCAGCUCCCUGGGUUGACACUGACGCUCAUGCACGAAAGCGUGGGGAGCAAACA